GUCUUUUUGGUAUUAUUUAAAGUCAAAUCUGCUCACUGAAGGGUUAAAGAGCCGCAGUAUACUGACUGUGCAAAGGUAGCAUAAUCAAUAGUUUUUUAAUUGAGAACUUGUAUGAAAGAUUAGACGAAGAAUAUAUUUUCUUUAUUUUAUUAAAUUUAAUUUUAAUUUUAAGUGAAAAUGCUUAAUUAAAUUUAAAAGACGAGAAGACCCUAUAGAUUUUUAUUAUUUAAAAAGUUUCUAUAAUUUGAACUGGUAAAAUAAUUUAAUUGGGGCGAUUUUUUAAUAUAAAAAACUUAAUUUUUUCUUACCAUUGAUUGUUGAAUUUUUUGAUCUAAAAUUUUUAAAAGAAAGAUUAAAUUACCUUAGGGAUAACAGCGUAAUUUUAUUUAAGAGCUCGUAUCUAUAAUAAAGCUUGCGACCUCGAUGUUGAAUUAAGAUAAUGUAUUGGAGUAGAAGUUAAUAUAAUUAGUCUGUUCGACUAUUAAAUUCU
rnacentral:rRNA from 1 species